UACAGAGGGGGCAAGCGUUAUUCGGAAUUAUUGGGCGUAAAGGGCGCGUAGGCGGCCCGGUAAGUCCGCUGUGAAAGUCGGGGGCUCAACCCUCGAAUGCCGGUGGAUACUGUCGGGCUAGAGUGCGGAAGAGGCGAGUGGAAUUCCUGGUGUAGCGGUGAAAUGCGCAGAUAUCAGGAGGAACACCGAUUGCGAAGGCAGCUCGCUGGGACGUUACUGACGCUGAGACGCGAAAGCGUGGGGAGCAAACAGG
rnacentral:rRNA from 1 species